rnacentral:rRNA from 1 species
CUGCAAACACGAAAGUGGACGUAUAGGGUGUGACGCCUGCCCGGUGCCGGAAGGUUAAUUGAUGGGGUUAGCGCAAGCGAAGCUCUUGAUCGAAGCCCCGGUAAACGGCGGCCGUAACUAUAACGGUCCUAAGGUAGCGAAAUUCCUUGUCGGGUAAGUUCCGACCUGCACGAAUGGCGUAACGAUGGCGGCGCUGUCUCCACCCGAGACUCAGUGAAAUUGAAAUCGCUGUGAAGAUGCAGUGUAUCCGCGGCUAGACGGAAAGACCCCGUGAACCUUUACUAUAGCUUUGCACUGGACUUUGAAUUUGCUUGUGUAGGAUAGGUGGGAGGCUUUGAAGCGUGGACGCCAGUCUGCGUGGAGCCAACCUUGAAAUACCACCCUGGCAACUUUGAGGUUCUAACUCAGGUCCGUUAUCCGGAUCGAGGACAGUGUAUGGUGGGUAGUUUGACUGGGGCGGUCUCCUCCUAAAGAGUAACGGAGGAGUACGAAGGUGCGCUCAGACCGGUCGGAAAUCGGUCGUAGAGUAUAAAGGCAAAAGCGCGCUUGACUGCGAGACAGACACGUCGAGCAGGUACGAAAGUAGGUCUUAGUGAUCCGGUGGUUCUGUAUGGAAGGGCCAUCGCUCAACGGAUAAAAGGUACUCCUCCUCGAUGUCGGCUCAUCACAUCCUGGGGCUGAAGCCGGUCCCAAGGGUAUGGCUGUUCGCCAUUUAAAGUGGUACGCGAGCUGGGUUUAGAACGUCGUGAGACAGUUCGGUCCCUAUCUGCCGUGGACGUUUGAGAUUUGAGAGGGGCUGCUCCUAGUACGAGAGGACCGGAGUGGACGAACCUCUGGUGUUCCGGUUGUCACGCCAGUGGCAUUGCCGGGUAGCUAUGUUCGGAAAAGAUAACCGCUGAAAGCAUCUAAGCGGGAAACUUGCCUCAAGAUGAGAUCUCACUGGAACCUUGAGUUCCCUGAAGGGCCGUCGAAGACUACGACGUUGAUAGGUUGGGUGUGUAAGCGCUGUGAGGCGUUGAGCUAACCAAUACUAAUUGCCCGUGAGGCUUGACCAUAUAACACCCA